AACGAACGCUGGCGGCAUGCCCAACACAUGCAAGUCGAACGAGACCUUCGGGUCUAGUGGCGCACGGGUGCGUAACGCGUGGGAACCUGCCCUUAGGUUCGGAAUAACUCAGAGAAAUUUGAGCUAAUACCGGAUAAUGUCUUCGGACCAAAGAUUUAUCGCCUUUGGAUGGGCCCGCGUAGGAUUAGCUUGUUGGUGGGGUAAUGGCCUACCAAGGCGACGAUCCUUAGCUGGUCUGAGAGGAUGAUCAGCCACACUGGGACUGAGACACGGCCCAGACUCCUACGGGAGGCAGCAGUGGGGAAUAUUGGACAAUGGGCGAAAGCCUGAUCCAGCAAUGCCGCGUGAGUGAUGAAGGCCUUAGGGUUGUAAAGCUCUUUUACCAGGGAUGAUAAUGACAGUACCUGGAGAAUAAGCUCCGGCUAACUCCGUG
rnacentral:rRNA from 1 species